rnacentral:rRNA from 1 species
UACGAAGGGUGCAAGCGUUACUCGGAAUUACUGGGCGUAAAGCGUGCGUAGGCGGUUUGUUAAGUCUGUCGUGAAAGCCCCGGGCUCAACCUGGGAAUGGCGAUGGAAACUGGCGAGCUAGAGUACGGUAGAGGAGAGUGGAAUUCCCGGUGUAGCAGUGAAAUGCGUAGAGAUGCGGAGGAACACCGAUGGCGAAGGCAGCCCCCUGGGCCAAUACUGACGCUCAGGCACGAAAGCGUGGGGAGCAAACAGG